rnacentral:sRNA from 1 species
UGAUUGUUCUGCGAUGAAUGUAUGAAU